rnacentral:rRNA from 1 species
UACAGAGGGUGCGAGCGUUUGUUCGGAAUUAUUGGGCGUAAAGCGCGUGUAGGCGGUGGUGCAUGUCGGGUGUGAAAGCCCUCAGCUUAACUGAGGAAGUGCGCCCGAAACUGCAUCGCUGGAGUGCCGGAGAGGAAGGCGGAAUUCCCGGUGUAGUGGUGAAAUGCGUAGAUAUCGGGAGGAACACCAGUGGCGAAGGCGACUUCCUGGCCUGUUCUUGACGCUGAGGCGCGAAAGCUAGGGGAGCAAACGGGG